rnacentral:lncRNA from 1 species
UUUUGCUUAUUCAUAAAACCUUCUCAACUUAUAAAAUAAAUCAUCAAAAUAAUGUAAUCAUGUUUUACGCUCUAAACUAUGAAGUAGAAAGCAACAGUCAGCAGGGGGCCGAUAUGAAAUUCUUUUCUUCAGUUUAUUAGCUGGCUAAAUUUAUAAAUAUAUAAACAAGACAACUCUAAAAUUUAAAAAGUGUAUGCAGCCAUACAACAUACAAUACCUACCCAUCACACCUGAAGAAGAUAAUAAUCAAGUACAAAUGAACCCUAGGUUAUCCUUGUAACUAAAUAACACGCACCCACCACACCUACUCAUUAUCUGCAGGCCCAACUACUUCAUUGCUUGAUUGUUUGAAAUCUGAGCAGGGUUUCCCGCAACUGACGUGGGCCCCAUUGCGUUAGAAAACGGAGGUGUGGGUCCGGGUCCCAUCAUGGGUCUCGAAAGUGGUGGUCUUUGAGGGGUCAUUCCCAUAGGAUUUGGAGGCCUUUGUCCGGGAUGUGCCAUGGGCCUAGAGGAAGCAGCACCCGACAUGCCCAAACGGGCUGCGAUUAUCUGGGCCCGUUCAUGGUAAAGUCCCCGUUUUGACCUUUCUAAUUGUUCGCGGGCCCUUGAUACCACACCAUCCAUCUCAGUAAAGAAAGUCAACUUUGUCUCCAACUUGUGCAGCUGUAGUACAAAUUUAAGCAAGCAACAAUUAAAGGGGCAAAGUUGGUAACGAGUCGAACAAAUUCAAGCGAAAAUGGGUAAUUUUGGUCGGGUUGACCCGAAACACAUUUUGCCCAACUUUUAGAUAUUUGUUCUAUAAAAGAUAUGU